GAUGAACGCUGGCGGCGUGCCUAAUACAUGCAAGUCGAGCGAACGGACGAGAAGCUUGCUUCUCUGAUGUUAGCGGCGGACGGGUGAGUAACACGUGUAUAACCUACCUAUAAUACUGGGAUAACUUCGGGAAACCGGAGCUAAUACCGGAUGAUAUUUUGAACCGCAUGGUUCAAAAGUGAAAGACGGUCUUGCUGUCACUUAUAGAUGGAUCCGCGCUGCAUUAGCUAGUUGGUAAGUUAACGGCUUACCAAGGCAACGAUGCAUAGCCGACCUGAGAGAGUGAUAGGCCACACUGGAGCUGAGCCACGGUCCAGACUACUACGGGAGGCAGCAGAAGGGAAUCUUAAGCAAUGGGCGAAAGCCUGACGGAGUAACGCCGAGUGAGUGAUGAAGGUCUUGGGAUCGUAAAACCCUGUUACUAGUGAAGAACAUAUGUGUACGUAACUGUGCACAUCUUGACGGUACUGAAUCAGAAAGCCACGGCUAACUACGUG
rnacentral:rRNA from 1 species